GACGAACGCUGGCGGCGUGCUUAACACAUGCAAGUCGAACGGAAAGGCCCUGCUUUUGUGGGGUGCUCGAGUGGCGAACGGGUGAGUAACACGUGAGUAACCUGCCCUUGACUUUGGGAUAACUUCAGGAAACUGGGGCUAAUACCGGAUAGGAGCUCCUGCUGCAUGGUGGGGGUUGGAAAGUUUCGGCGGUUGGGGAUGGACUCGCGGCUUAUCAGCUUGUUGGUGGGGUAGUGGCUUACCAAGGCUUUGACGGGUAGCCGGCCUGAGAGGGUGACCGGCCACAUUGGGACUGGGAUACGGCCCGGACUCCUACGGGGGGCAGCAGGGGGGAAUAUUGCACAAGGGGCGGAAGCCUGAUGCAGCAACGCCGCGGGCGGGAUGACGGCCUUCGGGUUGUAAACCGCUUUCGCCUGUGACGAAGCGUGGGUGACGGUAAUGGGUAAAGAAGCACCGGCUAACUACGU
rnacentral:rRNA from 1 species